AACUUUCAACAACGGAUCUCUUGGUUCUGGCAUCGAUGAAGAACGCAGCGAAAUGCGAUAAGUAAUGUGAAUUGCAGAAUUCAGUGAAUCAUCGAAUCUUUUGAACGCACAUUGCGCCCGCCAGUAUUCUGGCGGGCAUGCCUGUUCGAGCGUCAUUUCAACCAUCAAGCCCUGG
rnacentral:rRNA from 1 species